rnacentral:rRNA from 1 species
GACGAAUGCUGGCGGCGUGCCUAAUACAUGCAAGUAGAACGCUGAAGGAGGAGCUUGCUUCUCUGGAUGAGUUGCGAACGGGUGAGUAACGCGUAGGUAACCUGCCUGGUAGCGGGGGAUAACUAUUGGAAACGAUAGCUAAUACCGCAUAAUAGUAGAUGUUGCAUGACAUUUGCUUAAAAGGUGCAAUUGCAUCACUACCAGAUGGACCUGCGUUGUAUUAGCUAGUUGGUGAGGUAACGGCUCACCAAGGCAACGAUACAUAGCCGACCUGAGAGGGUCAUCGGCCACACUGGGACUGAGACACGGCCCAGACUCCUACGGGAGGCAGCAGUAGGGAAUCUUCGGCAAUGGACGGAAGUCUGACCGAGCAACGCCGCGUGAGUGAAGAAGGUUUUCGGAUCGUAAAGCUCUGUUGUAAGAGAAGAAAGAGUGUGAGAGUGGAAAGUUCACACUGUGACGGUAUCUUACCAGAAAGGGACGGCUAACUACGUG